rnacentral:rRNA from 1 species
GACGAACGCUGGCGGCAUGCCUAAUACAUGCAAGUCGAGCGAACAGAUGAAGUGCUUGCACUUCUGACGUUAGCGGCGAACGAGUGAGUAACACGUAAGGAAUCUACCUAUAAGCGGGGGAUAACAUUCGGAAACGGGUGCUAAUACCGCAUAAUAUCUUCUUCCGCAUGGAAGAAGAUUGAAAGACGGCUCUGCUGUCACUUAUAGAUGACCUUGCGGUGCAUUAGUUAGUUGGUGGGGUAACGGCCUACCAAGACGAUGAUGCAUAGCCGACCUGAGAGGGUGAUCGGCCACAUUGGGACUGAGACACGGCCCAAACUCCUACGGAAGGCAGCAGUAGGGAAUCUUCCGCAAUGGGCGAAAGCCUGACGGAGCAAUGCCGCGUGAGUGAAGAAGGCCUUCGGGUCGUAAAACUCUGUUAUAAGAGAAGAACAAAUUGUAGAGUAACUGCUACAGUCUUGACGGUAUCUUAUCAGAAAGCCACGGCUAACUACGUGCCAGCAGCCGCGGUAA